CAAUUCUUACACAAUUAUGACUGCAAAUUUGUAUUACUCUUGGUGUCCUGUGCUGCUCAGAAACCUCUCAUAGCCUAGAAUUUCAAUACCACCAGUACGUGAAUGUAGCAAUUGGACAGACCAACAUGAUGGGAAAGGCAUAGCACCAGAGGUGUGAUGACAGAAGGACCAGCACAAUAGAAAGGUGCCAUAAAGGAAAGGAAGAAGAUUGCUCACCUGUAUCAGAAGAUUCCAGGUUCACAGGGGAAAGCUCCCCCAAGGAGGGACCUCCAACCAGAGACCCUUCCCCAGGGGCAGUCAGCCCUUAAAUAAGGUCUAAGAGAGGUGCAGCCAGGCUACACCCCUUCCUAUCACACAGCUGCAUUGCCUUCACCUGUGCUCCCAGGGCUGACCAGGUCCUUUCCCCAGGUGCUCCAUCACUGCUUCAGGCCCUGACUCAGCAGUUCCCAUACACUUGGACACAACAGCCUUAGCUUCAGCAGACCAGCACCCCAUUGGGCGCUCCAAUUCACACACCUCUAAGUUCUGAAAUGUGCUGCUCUCCUCUUAAGCACUCUCACCAUUUCUCAGCAUCGUGGUCAAGAGAUUUCUGACACUGUCUGACACUGACAAGCCUGUUCUAUCCAUAGGCAUUUCCAGCUGAGUUUGUUCCUUUCCAGAGGAGACAAAAAGACAUUUGGGCUGAUGGGUCUGGCUGAUACGUGCUCCGCUCAGUGGCCACUGAGCACUUCCCCAAGUUUUAUUGCAGAUUUAGACAGCGAGCUCUGCAGGGUGCAACAUAAAUGCAAUUUGUGACUGACUCAACAGUAGAGAUGAGAGGUUUGGCAGCUCUCAGAAAGUUUCCCAUUUCAAAAUAUUGCAGGCUAUUUUUGUCAUUCUCACCUUACUAAUUCCACCAAGCCGUCCAAGCUUGGCACACAUCACAGUGUCUCAUUUGGCUCAAAGCCGCUCCAUUUUCAAACCAAACCGUGCACCCUUCCUCCUGCAGAAUGAAUGUUCAAUAGCAGAAGGGCAGAGCUGUCAUGCAAAUGUAGUUGCUCAGCUCUAAAUCGUGAUCCCCUAAAACAGAGUAUACAGAUGAGUUAUCCAGUUUGCAGGUUAAUUAUUGCAAUAUUGGUAUUCACACCAACACUCUCACCACAAACUCCCAAUAUGAUUAACUUUCAUCAGUAAAUCUGACGCAGGCACUUAAAUUAGGAGCUAGUUAGAUCUAGAAGACCAUGUUUGAAAUUGUGCAGUUCUUUGACACCCUUUUUCAACUGCUGUGCAGCCCUGGAAGUGUUGCUCCAGCAUUCAAUGUGCAGCCCCACUGAUGUGGCUUCCAGGAUGAGUUUGGACCCAGGCUCACAGGGGCACCUCAUAGAUGCUGAUGACAUCCAAUGCAGUCCUCUGCAUCUUCCCUUGACUAUGGCAGCCACUUAGGACUGCAAGGUAUACUGGGGUUUUUUUGCUUUGUUUAUGUGCUGUGGAUUCACAGCAAGACGAAUGAUUCCCAAGGAAGGAUCCCACCUUUGGCCAUGAGAGAGGACUGCUCAUCCCUACCUCCAGAGGGCUGUCCCAUGGGGGUUAUCCCGGCAUGCCUACCACCGCUGCUCUGCCAUCUGUGACCAUUCCUCUCCAACACAAAUACAACAUUCAACUGCAUGCAUGAUUUUUUCCAGCUCAGUCCUUGUGCAGAGCUUUAUACGGGGCUGUCCUCCACUGUCUGCGCUGCAGAACUUAACUGUUCAUAUUCAUGGCUUAAGAGGAGACUGAUCCCUGGCAAAACUCCAGCGAGAGCUCCGUCGGCAGCUCUGAAGGCAAACUUGUGUUGAUGCUCGACUGCAGCCUGGAAUUUAAAUUCCUACAUCCACGUGAGAAAUCAGAACCCGUUGCAGUAGUAAACUGAUGUUUUCCCUGCCUGCUCUCAGGUUCAAGCUCUCAGACAAGAGAUACUUCUCACAGUUGUUGACAAAGCACUUCUCACCUGCAGAAGAAAUUGCAUGGGGUGCGGUGCCACACCUUGGUCAUCCGUCACCUCUUAUCUGUGGAUUCUGUAGACAUCUGUGACAGGGAGCAACUGCUUCCCUCCAUACUACAAAGCCCAACAAGAAAUGAAUAUCUUCCCUCUGAAGCCUGGACUUUAUCUGGCCUAAGGUAUUUGCAAGGUCUGCAGUAACGAAGUACAGCAGGAGGGAGGACAAGUGUAUGAAUUCCAUGCAGAUGCUAUCAUUUAUUGUUGAUGCCACAACCUACUGCUAACACAGAGGGUUGUUAUCAUUCAUGCACUGUGCCGGAUAGGUACAGAUGCAUCCAGAAU
ensembl:lncRNA